rnacentral:lncRNA from 12 species
CCUGAGCAGAGCAGGAUUUGCCCGUGUAAUCUCUUGCCCUGCACUCUGAACAAGCCAGUGUGGAUCAUACUCACACAGGGAGGGAGAGCUCCUGCAGCCCAGCUCUCCCCAGGCAACAUCUUCCAGAGAGAAGCAGGGAAGCUUUGGCCAACACCAGUCAGAAAGCAGACUCACUGCAGUCCCAGGCAGCAGAGCAGCCCACAAGGCCGCAGAAGGAUGCUGGAAAAUAGGAAACACAAGGCUGGUGUUUGCUGUUGCCUGCCCUGCAUCUACAUGAGGCCACAAAUGCCUCUGAGUUACCUAGAACACUGGGUAAUACCUUUGGGAGCACCUAGGAGCUGGAUUCUGACAGCUGACUAAAAGGACAAACAAGGUAAGCAGCUCCCUACCUGAAAAGGAUGGGGAAAAC